rnacentral:lncRNA from 1 species
GAGGCAGCAGAGGCCCUCCCUGGGCAAUCUGAAGAGGGAGACCCAAGCAUUCCUGGUUGUUGUGAAACAACGAGUGAGCCUCAGACAGGGAUCAUCACGGGAUCUGGUCUCCUGACUACGAGAGGAUCUCUCCCAUUUCUAAAGAGCUCGCCUGUCCGGGGAGGGCGCUGAAGUGACAGGAACGUGCAAAACAUACUGGCCACAUGUCCUUCUGGAAGGAAAGUCAGCCCAGACUGCGCAGGAAACUGGAGAUUAAACAGAGGCCUGGGGAAGGCCGGGUUUGUUUUUGCUAAGAAACUCCUGGCUUGGGACGGCCGGGUGGCUCAGCGGUUGACUGUCUGCCUUUGGCCCAGGGUGUGAUCCUGGGGACCCAGGAUCGAGUCCCACGUUGGGCUCCCUGCAUGGAGCCUGCUUCUCCCUCUGCCUGUGUCUCUGCCUCUCUUUCUCUCUCUCUCUCUCUGUCUCUCAUGAAUAAAUAAAUAAACAAAUACAUAAAUAAUCUUAAAAAAAAAAAAGAAACUGUGGGAAAGGAGGUAGAGGCAGUCUGGCCAGGGGCACAGGUGCUGCCCGCCCGCCCAAGCACCAACUCUGCGGGCACCUGCCCUCAGCUGCUCCCUGCCCCCCCACCCCUGCCCCCAGAGGCCCCCUCGCUAAUGUUCAGCCCCCCCACACACACACACACACUUUCUCACUGUUCAGAUUCCUCAGGUGUGUCCCCUCGCAGAAGAAGGAGGCCAGGUGUUUCCCUGUCGGAACUCGUGGGCUCCCCGCCCGGCUUCAGAGGCUGAGCCUCCUCUCCGAACCAGGUGUGCCAGCAGGUGACAAAGGUUUGGGAGCCUGCCGAGAAGCAUGUGACAGGGAGCAGUGCCGAGGAGUGAUGCCGCUGCAGAUGCUUUCGCUCUUCCAGGCACGGAAGUUGUGCAAGACAGUUAAGCUGAGUCGGCUCAUCUACCAACUGUCCUUGGAGGUACCUCGGAGGUGCCACAGGUUCUGUCCCAGGCCACCAUAAGAACUCGAGUGUGACAGUAAAGCGAGCCCAGGGAGUGUCUUGGUUUUCCAGUGCCUAUGAAAGUUAUGUUUAGGGCGCCUGGGCGGCUCUGUUGGUGAAAUGUCUGCCUUCGGCUCAGGUCGUGAUCUCAGGUCCUAGGAUCGAGCCCAGCAUCAGGCUCCCUGCUCAGCGGAGAGUCCGCUUCUCCCUCUCCCUCUGCCC